rnacentral:tmRNA from 1 species
GGGGAUGUUUUGGAUUCGACAGGGAUAGAUCGAGCUCAGGUAGCGAGUCGAGGUGACGACUCGUUAAACGUCAUUCAGUUAAUAAUAACUGGCAAACAAAACGAUUUCGCUGUAGCUGCGUAAAGCAGGCUACAGGAUCCUUCCUGCCAUCGCCCGUGUGGUAGAUUGAAGGGUCUCAAAAUGAAGCGGGCUACGCUAAAGGCCACCGUCUGAGGUCUUUAGAAGAGAUUAAUCAGACUAGCCAUUCGGAAGCCUGUCGGUUGGCUGAAGAAUCGGCGAAUGACAAUAAAUCGAAUACGCUCGUAGAAGCCUGAGUGGCGAUGUCUCUGGACGCGGGUUCGAGUCCCGCCAUCUCCAUAU